rnacentral:tRNA from 1 species
UAGCCAAAAGGUUAAGGCAAUGGAUUGUGACUUCAUCAUUCGCGGGUUCGAAUCCCGUCA